rnacentral:lncRNA from 1 species
AUGAGGGCCGCCCGCAGAUGAUAGCAAUUCGUCUUCACUAAGAGCUAACGACUAGAAAUCUAGCAAAUAGGACGCUUUGUCAAUUGAAUUAGUAAGUUAUCCUGGUCUAGAGGGUGUUCUUCCUCCCCACUCUAGAGGCUAAACCAGUUAGAAAAGCGUCCCCAGGGAUAAGAGCUCAGAGCCCUGGCUUUCCUGACUGGAGCUUUUUAGGGGUCCUGUUCUCCUACGAUCUGAGGAUCGAUCUACCUCCGUUCCUUUCCUUCAACAAGA